AGAAGCUAAUUGUGAUCAAAGUGGUCACAAUAACGCUAAAAUGGAAAUUAAGUGUUUCCAAACUUAACUAGAGGCUUGAGAACACCAAGUGACAGGUUUUGGAAAUGUGGGAAUAGAUAAGAAUGGAAUUGGAGUGGCUAAAUACAUUCAAUUGCCAUUUUGACUCGAAAGCUGAAAUUCUAGUCACUUUGGUCAAAAAUGGCCAAAUUGAUACCAAAUUGGAAAUUAAUUGCUUCCAAAUUAAUUUGACAACUUGUAGAGGUAUAUUAGUGUAAUUUGGAAGUGCUUGAGUGGACUUGAAGUGAGUUGGAUGGGCAAAAUAAGCUUCAAAGUGCUGCUACAGCUAGUUGUUUAGUGCAGGGACUGAAUUGUAAGCUCCAGGGACUAAACUGUGAACCUGCAGGGACUGAAUCGCGAACUACUGGACUGCAAUGCAGUUUUAGCAUUUUGAGGGAUUAAACAGCAAUUUGCUGAGCUUAUCACCUUAACCCAGUCCAGCUAAAUAUGUCUACGUGGAGAGGGUGGUGUGGCAAAUUGAAGCUUUGGAGGUUGAUAGGAGCUGUCGAACAGCAGGAAACCAGCUAAGAAGGUUUAUAACUUCAGAGUUAGUGGCUGUGAAAGAAGGCUUGGUGGUGAGCAGAUUUGAGGUUUGUGGCCUGAUUGGAGCUACCAAAUUAGAGUUCCAGCUGAGGAAACUUGAAAAUUAAAGAAUGCAAGGAAUUAAAGAGGAAUCGUGAAGAUCUCGGCGCCCAAAUUGAAAGAGGCUGAUGGAUCCUCUUAGAUAAUUCGAAUUAAAAAAAGAACUUGAUAAAACCUUGAAUCAAGGGGGCUGCGAAGGAGAAGCCGAAGUGCUGAAAUUUCUGCAUUGCGCAGAAUUUCAGCAUAGACUACUUGCUAUUGGAAUUGGAAAAGAGAACUUGGUGAAGCUUCGAAUUGGGGGCUGCAAAGGGGAAGUAGGUGUGCAGAAUUUCAGCAUAAGUACCCUGCUGUUGGAGCUGAAAGAAAGCGUGUUGGAGCUGCGAAUUGAGGUCGGCGAAGCGUUAAUUGCAUUAGAAGCCAAUUCGGCUCUAGUUGCAUUGAGUCGCGUAAUACCUUUGCGGAUUCACUUCGAGACGUGGAUUCUAGUUGUUGACACCACUACAGCCGAUUGAUGCAGGGAGAGGGUGGUGUGGCAAAUUGAAGCUUUGGAGGUUGAUAGGAGCUGUCGAACAGCAGGAAACCAGCUAAGAAGGUUUAUAACUUCAGAGUUAGUGGCUGUGAAAGAAGGCUUGGUGGUGAGCAGAUUUGAGGUUUGUGGCCUGAUUGGAGCUACCAAAUUAGAGUUCCAGCUGAGGAAACUUGAAAAUUAAAGAAUGCAAGGAAUUAAAGAGGAAUCGUGAAGAUCUCGGCGCCCAAAUUGAAAGAGGCUGAUGGAUCCUCUUAGAUAAUUCGAAUUAAAAAAAGAACUUGAUAAAACCUUGAAUCAAGGGGGCUGCGAAGGAGAAGCCGAAGUGCUGAAAUUUCUGCAUUGCGCAGAAUUUCAGCAUAGACUACUUGCUAUUGGAAUUGGAAAAGAGAACUUGGUGAAGCUUCGAAUUGGGGGCUGCAAAGGGGAAGUAGGUGUGCAGAAUUUCAGCAUAAGUACCCUGCUGUUGGAGCUGAAAGAAAGCGUGUUGGAGCUGCGAAUUGAGGUCGGCGAAGCGUUAAUUGCAUUAGAAGCCAAUUCGGCUCUAGUUGCAUUGAGUCGCGUAAUACCUUUGCGGAUUCACUUCGAGACGUGGAUUCUAGUUGUUGACACCACUACAGGUUCCAGUGCGAGUAUUGUGGCCGAGGAUCGAGGCAAGAGCCAG